AUUGAACGCUGGCGGCCGGCCUAACACAUGCAAGUCGAGCGGAGCGGCGGACGGGUGAUUCAUGCAUAGGAAUCUGCCUGGUCGUGGGGGAUAACGUCCGGAAACGGGCGCUAAUACCGCAUACUAUCAGAUGAGCCUAGGUUGGAUUAGCUAGUUGGUUGGGUAAAGGCCUACCAAGGCGAAGAUCCGUAACUGGUCUGAGAGUAUGAUCAGUCCCACUGGAACUGAGACACGGUCCAGACUCCUACGGUAGGCAGCAGUGGGGAAUAUUGGACAAUGGGCGAAAGCCUGAGCCAGCCAGGCCGCGUGUGUGAAGAAGGUCUUCGGAUUGUAAAGCACUUUAAGUUGGGAGGCGUUACCAACAGAAUAAGCACCGGCUAACUUCGUGCCAGCAGCCGCGGUAAUUC
rnacentral:rRNA from 1 species